GGGCAGCCAGGGGCCAUUGGGGGCUUUGUGCCUAUCACCGAAGCACAGCGUGGACCUCCGCCCCUUCCUCGCACCCUUGGCAGCCAGGUGGGCACACCUGCCCCAGGCAGCGGCAGUGUCUCCGACUCCAGGAGCAGCUCAGCCCCGCCUCUUCCAGGAAGCCCGCAGGGACUGCUCCGUCCCUCUCUCUCUCUCUCUCUUUCCCUCUCCCCCUCAAUAUUGCAUCCUUUCCUCAGCUCUAGAAUGGGAAGGGAGCUCAGCUGGCUUCACUGGGGUCCAAACCAGGGCACGUGUGAGAGUGCAGGUGGCACCAUUACCUGUUACGUGGGGACAUGGGCUGAAAACCAGGACCCUCCCAGGACAUUCGGGGGCCUGGCUUAUACCAUCAUGCGUCGUUGGUUGUUCGGGUGUUUCUGUCUCUGGUUCCCUUUCUUGUCAAGUCAGCUUCCUCACCUGUAACGUGGCAGUGCUGGUGGCACUGUGAGGGUUCGGCGAGGCGGUCCUUGCUGCUAGGAAGCAUCCUGUCUUCUCUGUAUCCUUUCGGCACCAAGCUCAUGUCAGCCAGGGCUUCCGACGGUCUGAUGGCUGCCUGGAGGAGGCUCGGCCUGCUGCAGGUGCCCGGUGACAUUCCUAGGAUGACGGGUGGAGCGCGAAGGCUGGCUGGCUGGGUGGAUGCCUCCCUGAAUGGAGACUGAAUGAACACCGGGUCUCUUCUCUUCCCAGGUGGCUCUGGAGACCCCAGCCCCUGGCAGCGGGCAGCCGGGGAGGGUAUGAGUGUGCUUUUGUCCCCGUGGUUACCCAUUGCCACGUUACCCAUCGCCACGGUGGGCACACUCUCUCUGUUUCUGCUCCUUGAGUCUCGGACCCUGGCCGCCCACCAGGCCUCCCUCCCUCCCCUUGGCGCUGGCAGGACAGGCAGGUCAGGUGGGCUUCCAGUCAGGGCUCUUUUCUCCACCUCCCCAGGGGCUGUGUGUGUGUGUGUGGUUCUGAGUGUGUGGUUCUGUGCGUCUGUCGGUGUGUGCACCCAGCAAGCCCAGCGGGCGAGGUGGCCCCUGUGGCUUCGGGCUGAAGGAAUUAGUGUGCCGCGUGCAAUGGCUUUGGCAGCUGGCCGGGCUCGCCGCCCCUGGAUGCCAUGAGGGGCGUGGACGUGACACAUGUCCCACCUGCUGGUUUGGGGCAGGGCAGGGGCAGGGAGGAGAAGGCCCCUGAGCCUGGCUUUUUGGACUGCUCACUGCUGCUGCUGUCCUCCGUGGGGUAAGGACAGACAGGUGGACAGGAGCCAAUCUCUCUGCUCCUUCACCUCGGUGACACUGGCUCCGUGCCCUCCCUUAUGGGGGCCGAGAGACUGUUCUAGGCACCCCUCGCCCCCCAGAAGUGGUGUGAAAAGUGGGGCUCUGGACCUCUUGGGCCUGGCUUCAGAUCCCCUGGCCACUCCUCAUUGCUGUGUGCCCGGGAUAAGCCGCCUCACCUCUCUGGGCCGCUUCCCAACAUGAAUCCCGCCAGCCAGGGCUCUGAGGACAGAGUGGGUCAGGACCUGAGGCCCUCAGGACACCGCAGGUCAGCAGUGUGAGCCAUCAGCCCCUUGCCUGGCACUGUCCCCAUUGUCAUUCUGGUCACCUUUUCUGGGAGCAUUUGAACCCCAGUGUCACCCCCCACAGCCCAGCUCUCCCAGGUGGGGAGCAAGGCAGGAAACUCAGGAUGCUGACUCGGCCAGGGGAGAUCCCACGUGACCCCCACCAGCCAUAGGGCGGGAGGCAGCCUGCCAAGGUGAGGCACAGCGCCCUGGCCCAGAACAGAGCAAGUGCUCAGAAAUCACAGGCCGGUACCCUCCCGGCUGGGGGCAGCUUCCUGCCAGCAUCCCGGCCCCUGGCCCUGUCUCCUCACCCAGCAGCAUACAGAAGGGAAGGAGCAUUUAUGCAACACCUACUGCAUGCCAGUUCUCAAGUCAUUAGCCCGUUUUAUCAACAAGGAAACUGAGCCUCAGAGAGGUGGGGCCUGGGACCAGCCCAGUGGUUCCAAAGCAGGAAUUCCCACCAGGAACCAACCUUGAGAGGGCCUCCCUCCUGCCUCCUUGGGCCAAAGCAACUGCCCUCCUGAGCCCUCGGGGACCCCAGGCACUGCUCCAGCCCCUCCCCAGCUCCUCCCCCUAGACCCCCAGGAAGCAGAGCUUGGGGAGAUGCUGUCCACAGUCUCAGGACCAGACCCUGCAGGCAGAUCUGUGCGCCCUCUCUGAGCCUCAGUUUUCCCAUCUGGGAAAUAGGAAGAGCCAAGGAUGUCCGCCCCAUAGCGUGGGAACGCUGAGCCGUUGAAACAUCACUCCGGCCCCAUCCUUGGGGACCGCCUUGGUCCCCAGGGGCUGGUCUGGGGGGGUUCAAGGGCUGGGUGGGCUGGUCUGGCCGCCUCGCCUCUCCCUAAUGGCAGGUUUGGGCACAGACAGAGCCUGUGGCCUGGCAGUGUGGGGUGGUGGCUCUGCUCCCCCGCCCGCCUGCCCUCCUGCCCGCCGUGUGGUCCCUGCGGGGGGACACGUGAACACAGCCUGGCUCUGUUCUCUCAGAGCUGUGGGAGGCGGGCUGUCACCACGGGAGCUGGAGGUGAGCCCGGGAGCGGGGGAGGGGCGGCGGAUGUCUGUGCCUGCCUUCCUCCCCCCACCCGCCACCGCCACCACCACCGCCACCGCCAGGCCCUGCCAAGCCACAGGUGCCGCCGUGGAGGGCGUGGGUGGGGGUCCUGCUGAGUGGAGGGCUGGGGCUGGGCGAGGGGUUGGGGGUGCACAGUGUAUGCAGGAUAGCGAGGAGGGGGUCUUUUGGGGGGACAGCUGCCCCGCUCUGUUCUGGAGAGAGAGGUGUCCAAGGCAACAUGGCCACCGUCACCAGGGCUGCAGGUCCCCCUGGGGUUCUGAACGGCUGCUGCGUGGCACAGGUUGGGCACUGCACAAUCUCAGGUCUUUGGGUGGAGCUGUACCGUGUGCAGCGGCCUAGGGGCUCCCUCCCGUCUUCUCCGCCUCCCACGUUUUGAUGUUUGUUUCUGGAGUUCGGGCCCCUUUUGAUCCAAAGUCUGGGGUGUUGGUGAGGGCGAUGUGUAGGAGUGACUAUGGGUGAGAGGGCUCCCAUCGUGGGCUGCACACAGUAGGGCGGCUUGGGGGGUUGUAAGAAGCCAUGUCUGUCCUUCGAGGUCAGAGUGAUACGUGUGUAUCCAAGCCCCCCAUGAAUCCCAUUCUCCUUGAGCAUCUAAGGUCAUGACUUUGUGGGUACCAGGCGUCCCCGCCCCGCUACCUUGCCUCCUAAGAGCCCCCUUUGCCGAGAUUUAAUGUCUUAACUCACUGAGCUGCAGGUCAAACAGCACCUGGGGAGAGAGACACCAACUGAAACCUCUCCUAGCUGUGUGACCUUAAGCAUGUUACCUAACCUCUCUGUGCUUUCAUUUCCUCCUCCGAAAAGUAGAGGCAGUAGCCUGCGUCGCCAGGUUAUAGGCAGAUUGCAUGAGAUAAGGAUGAAACGCACUUUGAGCCGGGACAGCGUGUGGAAAAUGCCAGUUGUUGCCUCACUCCGUGUGCCCUGGGUAGAAACUGCCAGCUUUGUUCUUUGCCACCUGGAGGUCCUGGCAGGCAGGAGGCUGGGGUUCAGCGGCCUUGUUCCCCAGGGGUGGCUGGCACCGGGCUUGGCACGAGGUGAGCUCUGGAUUGAUAAACAGCUGCAGGGUUGCAGGGGGGGCCUCCCUCUCUCCCUCUCUGGGAGCUGCAGGGGACGCCUGCUCCCUCCAACCCGCCGCCACCGCCAGGCCCCUUUGUCCAUACGGCCGCCUCCCGGUGCAGAGAAACCGCAGGCUGGGCUGCGCCACUCAGCCUUAUCUCAGGCCUUUUGCAGACAGCCCUGGCCCCGGGAAAGGGGUUUAUCAGCCCGGUCAUCUGUGCCCCGGUAGGUUCAGAGGGGCAGAGAGCUUGGAGGGGAGCCUGGCAGGGGGCAGGGCCCACCCACACUGGCCUGGCGAGGUCCCCUCCUCCAGGCGGGCUUUGGGCGCACAGGAAGGGCCGAGCCCCAGACUCCCUCCGUAGACUCCGUGACAUUCACCUUCCACCGGCCCCCUCCCAGCCCUCAGAUUCGGUGCCCUCCAUGCGACCACCUGUCCCCACGGGGCAGUCAGGGGAGCCUGACCCGCGUCUGAGGGCGGGUAUGUGUGGCAGGGUUGAAGCUGGGAAGCCCAUUUCAGGGCACUGAGCCCUGGGAAGGCUGCCCAGCCUUCCCGAUGCUUCUUUAAGGGGCAGGGAGCUCCCGUUCUCCCCCCUUAUAAGGCCAACUCCUGAGCGCCUGCUGGCGAGGAGCCCUUCUCCCCAUGCUCUCACGGAUGCGCUGACUGGGCCCAGUCGUGAACCCAUCAUAGAGACCAGGAGACUGAGGCCCAGGCCAACUUUGCACCCUGCAGCCUUGCGGACAUCCUGGGUCUGCGGGCGCACGGGAUGGGCACCUUAGGGGUGGAAGGUGGUCCCUGUGGUCCCUGGCCACCCGGCUACCCUAGUGCCAUUCUGCCACCACCUCCCCUGCCAUUGCUCCCUCCCUUCCCUCAGGGAGAAGUCCUGCUCAGCCAGGGAUGGGGGUGGGGGAACAGAAUGGGCCCCUCGCCAGUGGGUGCACACCGCCAGAGAGGGGCCUUGACAAGCUCAGUAGCCGGGUCAGACCCUGGCACUUUCUGGCUGCAAACCCGGACAAGCCUCCUAGCCCUCUGGGCUGGGCGGGGGCGGGUGUGUGUGUGUGUGUGCCCUUUCCACGCGCCAGGCAGCCCCCCCAGGUCUUGGCCCACUUCAGGCUGCUCCCCAGAGGGCCCUCCCUCUCUCACCCGGAUCUGUGGGCAGAGUCACCCUCUUCACUGGCAUCCUGUCCUUCUCUGCUAAAAGGGCCACCUCCUGCUGUGUCCCAUCCUCGUUCUUAGGCUGUCACAGGCUCACAGCGCUGUCUAGCAGUGUAUUUCGCUGAUUUUUCUUAUCGUCUGCCGUGCCCAGUGUCUGCGCAGCUCCCAGAGGACAAGAAUUUCCAACUCCGUCUGCCCAGCCCCUAGGUCAGUGCCCGGCCCACAGUAGGCCCUCGAUAAAUACUUGUCAAAUGAAUGAAUGGACAGAUCAGCAAAGUGAGAAAACCAGAGAGUUCCCGUCAUGACGCAGUGGUUAACAAAUCCGACUAGGAACCAUGGGGUUGCGGGUUCGAUCCCUGGCCUUGCUCAGUGGUCAAGGAUCCGGCGUUGCCGUGAGCUGUGGUGUAGGUCGCAGAUGCAGCUCAGAUCCUGCAUUGCUGUGGCUGUGGCUGUGGUGUAGACUGGUGGCUACACCUCCAAUUGGACUCCUAGCCUGGGAACCUCCAUAUGCCGAGGGAGCGGCCCUAGAAAAGGCAAAAAGACAAAAAAAAAAAAAAAAAAAAAAANAAAAAAAAAAAAAGAAGAAGAAGAAAAAAAGAAAACUAAAGGCAGAAUUCCGUUGUGGUGCAGCGGGUUAAGGAUCCGGCGUUUUGUCAUUGCAGCAGCUCGGGUUGGCGCUGUGACGCGGGUUUGAUCCCUGGCCUGGGAACUUCCACAUGCUCCAGGUGUGGCCUGACAAAGACAACUCAGGGCUGCUUCACACUUUUCCUCUUAUUGCCUGAUUGUUACCCCAACCCUGUUCCUGAAGAGACUCGAUGGCGGCUUCUGGCAGUUGCUUCUGCUAUUGGCGUCCUUCCUGUCCCCAUGCUGAGUUGCCACUCAGGCCUCCAGGCCUCUGAUUCUCAUGGAUCCGUCACAGUUUCACCAAAACAGAACCAGCAGCCUCAUGCCUGGGAGCAGGGGGCAUUUCCUUCCACCCACCUCCUGCAGGUGCCAGCUCAGGCUGCUGGGCCUGGACCCACCUCCCUGAUGGGCUGUCAGAGCACCCGCAGGGCCACGAGGGGCCCGGAGUCCUGCUGCCCAGGUGUGUGUUCACUCUGCUGCUGGAGCCCCAGCCCAGCCCAAGCCCUGUGGCCAUGGUCCAGGAGGGGAGGGAAGCAGGAAUUGAGGUCACUCUUCCGCUCUGGCCACCUAGAGAUCAGACCCUUUGCAGGUCGAGGGUGUGACCAUCGAGAGGGUCCCCGAAUGCUGGCCUUCCUGCCUAGCGCACACCUGCUGGGUGUCCCAGCCCUGCCAGGCAUGGGGACAAAGGGACUUCUUUUCUACAUACAAAGAUAGGACAUCAGGUACUUGGCCUUGGGAAGUCAGAACGUCAUUUCCAGAACAUUCCGGUGGAUUAUAAGGGUCACAGGAGUGGCCAGGAAAUUCGAACAUGGACAGUCACUAUCUCCCUGAAUGACAGCAGGAGGUUAGAGGUAGUGACUUUAUCCUCAGGCACCUUAAAGUCCAGCAGGGGCACCCCAGGGGUUGAGGGCACACGGCUGAAGGAUUCUCGGAGGGCUUCCUGGAGGAGGAGGGACAGAGCUGUGACUUGAAGGAUUCUAAGAUGCAAAGGAGGGCGGGUGAGGUCUUCUCGGAGACAGAAGGAGAGUAUUGCCGCGGACAGGGAGAUGCUCCAAGGCCUCAUCUGAAUCCUGGGGGUGUCCAAGCCCCCCCCCCCCACCGCCUUCCCCCCCGAACCCCGGGAUCAGCCCCAUGGUUCUGCAGAUGAGGAAAGUAAAGCCGGGGGAGCCGCUGGCCACGGUCACAAGCAAGACAGAGGUGGGGGUGACACCAGCUGAGGAAUCACCCCCUCGGCUGCCCAGGUGCCUCCACCACCCAGCCCCACUCCGUGGUCAGGCUGAGGGUUGAAUCUCGGACCUUUGAUCUGUGCUGUGCGUUGGAUGCUAGUGGUUUGAAAUCCUGACAGCAACACGGUUCACACAUCGGCUCCAUCUGGGGAGGCCCUAGAUCUGACGGGGUCCAGUUAACACUCACUGGGGUGGGGGGUGUCUACGUCCUCGGCCCUGAUCCACCAUCACCCAGCCUCGCAGGCCAGCCCGGCACGGCUCCCCCAGCCAGGGGACCUGGGAGAGACUCCUUUCUCCAGUCUCAGCAUUUUAUUUGGGGACCCGAGAGCUUCUGGGUGGCUGUGGGAGCCCCCUGAUUGUCUAGUACAGUCUUGGCCAUGCAUGUUAAUUUAAAUUUUUGUGUAUUGAGCCAAAAUUCACAUAAUGUAAAACUAGCUGCUUUGAAGUGAAUAAUUCAGGAGUUGUCUGGUGGCCUAGCAGUUAAGGAUCCAGCAUUGUCACUGCUGUGGCUCAGAUUUGACCCCUGGCCCAGGGACGUCUGCAUGCCACGGACUAGGACAAAAAUAAUAAUAAUAAUAAAGUGAAUUAUUCAGUGACAUUUAGUACAGUCACAGUGUUGUGUGACCGUCACCUCUUUCCAGUUGGUCACCCCAAAAGGAACCCCCAUAACUAUUAGUCAUUUUCUUUCCCUCUCCCCCAGAGCCUAGAAACCACUCACCUGCUUUCUGCUUCUGUGGAUUUGCCUGUUCUAGACAUUUCCUGUGGAACCAUACAGUGUGUGGCCUUCUGUGUCUGGUGGCUUCUCUCGCCGAGCAUGUUUUCAAGGUCCAUCCAUGCCGCAGCUGUGCCAGGACUUCAGCCCUGUUCAUGACUGAAUAAUAUUCCGCUGCGUGGCUGUGCCACAUUCUAUGUGUUCAUUCUUCGGCUGGUGGACACAGGGCUGUCUCCGCGUCUUGGCUGUUGUGAUUAAUGCUGCCAUGACCAUUCAUGUAUGAGCAUGACUUUGAACACUUGUUUUCAGUGUGGGGGGCUAUAGAGUUGGGGUAAGGGACACCAACCCUCCGAGCCGUUGAAAAUCCACAUGUAACUUCUAAUUAGUUCUCCAUAUGCGUGGAUUCUGUCAACCUCAGACUGUGCAGGACUGUAGUAUUUACCACUGGAAAGAAACCCGAGGAGUUCCCGUCGUGGCGCAGUGGUUAACGAAUCCGACUAGGAACCAUGAGGUUGCGGGUUCAAUCCCUGCCCUUGCUCAGUGGGUUAAGGAUCCGGCGUUGCCAUGAGCUGUGGUGUAGGUUGCAGACGUGGCUCGGAUCCCGUGUUGCUGUGGCUCUGGCGUAGGCCAGCAGCUGUAGCUCCGAUUAAACCCCUAGCCUGGGAACCUCCAUAUGCCACGGGAGUGGCCCCAGAAAAGGCAAAAGAAAGACAAAAAAAAAAAAAAA
rnacentral:lncRNA from 1 species